rnacentral:rRNA from 1 species
GACGAACGCUGGCGGCGUGCUUAACACAUGCAAGUCGAACGGAAAGGCCCUGCUUUUGUGGGGUGCUCGAGUGGCGAACGGGUGAGUAACACGUGAGUAACCUGCCCUUGACUUUGGGAUAACUUCAGGAAACUGGGGCUAAUACCGGAUAGGAGCUCCUGCUGCAUGGUGGGGGUUGGAAAGUUUCGGCGGUUGGGGAUGGACUCGCGGCUUAUCAGCUUGUUGGUGGGGUAGUGGCUUACCAAGGCUUUGACGGGUAGCCGGCCUGAGAGGGUGACCGGCCACAUUGGGACUGAGAGACGGCCCAGACUCCUACGGGAGGCAGCAGUGGAGAAUAUUGCACAAUGGGCGGAAGCCUGAUGCAGCAACGCCGCGUGCGGGAUGACGGCCUUCGGGUUGUAAACCGCUUUCGCCUGUGACGAAGCGUUAGUGGCGGUAAUGGGUAAGAAAGCACCGGCUAACUACGUG